UAAGAAGAAGAAGAAAAAAAGA
rnacentral:sRNA from 1 species